rnacentral:lncRNA from 1 species
UUUCUCACUAUAAUUUGAUGUAAAAUUAUCUCAUAUUUGACUGGUAAAUUAGUAUCGGAUGGUAUUUUAUCUACAGUAUAUUGGCAAGAUAUCCAUCCAGGAUUUUAAAACACUGAUCACCAGCUAGCAAAUUAAGGUGUGACACACUGCCUGCUACUUCCUGCUAAGUGGAGGUUUAUGAUUGGCUGAAUAAGUCCAGGAAGAAAGGAGGAAAAUUAUCAAAAGUGAAGAAAGCAUGCCACAUCUCACCAAGCUUAAUUGUGUAAAAUUCAAUGGCAUUCCACCAAGAUUGCUGAUGAGUUCUGCAGACUUAGCUGAGACUUUUGGACAGAUGCAGCAUUGUAGGAACAUGUGGUCAUUCUUACCACUACCUCGGUUUGGUAAUAACUUAAACCACCGCUUGAACUCUCCUGCUCCCGGAAGCGAUGCAUAAAUUAAGGAUUAGUAAAAGUGAGAAUACCACCAGUGGAUCAUAAUGUAGUAAAGACGUGGAUGUAUGCAAUGCAGUCCAGGACUGAAAUCCAUGGUCAGUAGAUCCCUUAUGCUGUCUGGGAGAUCUUUAACUGUGCUGCCUGGAAGAUCUCCAACCACAGUAUGAGAUCUUUAACUACAGUAUGCUGUCUGGGAGAUCUGAGAUCUCUAACCGCAGUAUGAUGUCUGGGAGAUCUCUAACUGCAGUAUGCUGCCUGGGAGGUCUCUAUGGACACAUUCCGCGAGGUUUGUUUACAGCCAGUCACGUGACAUAUAGUGGGUAUUACUAUGGAGAAUUUACAGUGCGAUCAGUGUUAAGGUAUAGGAAAGAACACGUUAUAUUUUCAUUUCGGACUUAUAAAAUCCGCAUACGCCUCAAACUAAAAGAAAAUGCUUACGUUUAGAGUCCAUACUGAGCCCAAAAAAUCUGCAAUGAAAAUAUAACGUGUUAAAGGAUAAUGUUAUGGUUUCGCAAAAAUUCCCCCCCCCCCCCCCCAUUAAUGUGAGAAAUAACUGGCAAGGAAAGGAACUACGAUUGUUCAAAAUAGUGUGUAUUUACUUGUUCUAACAUUCUAUGUGCUUUGUAUGCUUUUGAAUUUAUGUGAUCUUUCAUAAACCUAAGCUAGCCUAGAAAUCCUAGUGUGUCAAAAUCGUGUGCAUACCUAAACAGGCUGUAGACAUGCAGGGGUCUAGGCCUAGCAUUUUUCGAAAAAUUUCAAUG